rnacentral:misc_RNA from 1 species
GUGGAAUUGCAGCAUGGUCUUCUGAGGAUGAACGGAUCUCAGGUGAGUUUGAUAUCUCCGCCAUUGGAGGGUUUCGAUGAGAUGCUGUUGCCACAUCUCCUUGAAUAGCAGCUGAUUGAUGAGCUCUCAUCUCGCUGAUCUCAACUACCAAACCCAAUGGACGUCUAUCAAAUGCGCGCAAGCUUUUUGAUUUCUUGUACACCCGACACAGG